rnacentral:tRNA from 1 species
GGGGACGUAGUUUAACCCGGCUAGAAUAGUCGGCUCCAGACCGUCGGAUCCAGGUUCAAAUCCUGGCGUCCCCA